rnacentral:sRNA from 1 species
AUCAUUCCCUUACUCGAGUGAAUUAAAGUACAGGAUUGGGGCUAAAUAAUGUGAGUGCCAAGCUCUUUCUGAAGCUCUUAUAUCAAGGAACACGCAUUACAACUUUCCUAAUCCCUGCUUCCCUCACUUCCAGAUUGUGAGAUGUGUCAGAACUUCUUCAUUGACAGCUGUGCUGCUCAUGGGCCCCCUACAUUUGUAAAGGACAGUGCAGUGGACAAGGGGCAUCCCAACCGUUCAGCCCUCAGUCUUCCCCCGGGGCUGAGAAUUGGGCCAUCAGGCAUCCCUCAGGCUGGGCUUAGAGUAUGGAACGAGGCAUCUGAUCCGCCACUGGGUCUGCACUCUGGCCCCUAUGAGGGCCAAAUUACAGAAGACGAAGAGGCAGCCAACAGUGGAUAUUCCUGGCUAAUCACCAAGGGGAGAAACUGCUAUGAGUAUGUGGAUGGAAAAGAUAAAUCCUGGGCCAACUGGAUGAGAACCAAAGCCAGAGAUCCAUCCAUGUCCCUCAUGCUGUCUGGCCUUUUCAAGUCAAAAAUUUCUCAGUCAACAUGUGGAACGCAAUCACUCCUCUCAGAACUUCCCAGGACCAUCUGCAAGAAAACUCCAACCAGAGAAUCCCUGACCAGGGGAUCAGAAUCAGGAGCGGCAAUAUUCUGAUCCACGCUGCUGUAAUGACAAAACCAAAGGUCAAGAGGUCAAAGAAAGGUCCAAACUCUUGAAUAAAUGGACAUGGCAGAGGGAGAUUUCAAGGGCCUUUUCUAGCCUACCCAAAGGACAAAUGGGGAGCUCUAGAGUGGGAGAAAGAAUGAUGGAAGAAGAGUCCAGAACAGGCCAGAAAGUGAAUCCAGGGAACACAGGCAAAUUAUUUGUGGGGGUAGGAAUCUCAAGAAUUGCAAAAGUCAAAUAUGGAGAGUGUGGGCAAGGUUUCAGUGAUAAGUCAGAUGUUAUUACACACCAAAGGACACACACAGGGGGGAAGCCCUACGUCUGCAGAGAGUGUGGGCAGGGCUUUAGCCGGAAGUCAGUCCUCCUCAUUCACCAGAGGACACACAGAGGGGAGAAGCCCUAGUCUGCAGGAAGGAUGAGUAAGUCAUUAGUAAUAAAACCUUAUCUCAAUAGCCACAAGAAGACAAACGUGAUCACCACACACUUGCACACCCCAGCUCUGAGGUGGCUUCAGCAAAAGUCUGCUAACCCCUUACAUUCCCCAAGAGUGUAAAGAGAUCGGAAAUAACUAAUUAAACAAAUCCACCACUUUCAUGACUAGAGUUGAGGAAGAACAGGGGAUAGUUCUGUAAGUGUUUGGGGGACGUCAACAUGUGUGCUUGUUUCCCGCACUGAUCCCCUCCAUUUUUUGUGUUUUGCCUCCUGUUCUAAUUAAUUUUGUCUCCAUACAUAUCUGAACCCCAAGUGUGUACCUAAUUCUUCCCUUAUCACUGAAGGAAAGAAGAGUCCAGAAGGGCCACAGAGAACUCAAACAUUCAGCUCAAGUCUCUACAGGAAUUCAACCCCAGAAAGACAUAAACUUGGAGUCCAUCUGGUUUAAUUAUUGGAGAAUCGAUUCCCAAGUCCAGGAAGAGAAAUGUAGGAUUUUACAGAGUCGCAGCAGGAAAGAGAGCUACCUGGUCUCCUGGGAAGUGUGACCUCUUCUCCUAAUGGACCCCCUCCUCUGCUGCCAUACUCCCCCUUGGCUCCCCCUGUCUCCUCUCCUGAUUUCCUCCAAUCUCCGUAGCCCCAGAAGUGAACGCCAGACAGGAACACACAUGUGUGUAUAUAUGUGUUCACGAGUGCUAUAUGUGUUAAGCCUGCAUGCAUGGGUGUGGGGGUAUGUGCCCUCUGUGUAUGUAUCUGUGUGAGUGUGGGGGUUUCAAGGGUGUGUUAGGAAUAACGCUCAAAAUCCUAAGGAAAUUGAACACUCUGAGAGAAGAGAGACAGACCCUCUCAUACUGUUUUAUAUUGUUUUAUACUCAGAAAAGGAAAGAGAAGCAAAACUAAAGGCAGGUAGCCUGGCGCCUAGGAACCAGACCUGAAACCAAGGAACCAGACCCGAAACUAGGCCUAGGCCGGCCUGACCUAAGCCUGGUAGUUAAAAUUCGACCCCUGACCUAGCAACUGAUGUUAUCUAUAGAAAUAGAAAGACAUUGUGAAACUUCCCGGUCUGUUCUGUUCCACUCUGACCAUCGGUGCAUGCAGCCCCUGUCACGUACCCCCUGCUUGCUCAAUCGAUCACGACCCUCUCACGCGGACCCCCUUAGAGUUGUGAGCCCUUAAAGGGGACAGGAAUUGCUCACUCGAGGAGCUCGGCUCUUGAGACAGCAGUCUUGCUGAUGCUCCUGGCCGAAUAAACCGCUUCCUUCUUUAA